AUGUCGAGCGCCGCGAACCUUGCGCAGCUCCUGCCGACGGGAACAUUGCUAGCGCACCAGGCUCUAUCCCCUUCCUUCACCAACCACGGCAAGUGCGAUGCCUCCAACCAGUGGCUCACCACCGUGAUGGUCAUCAUCCUCACCACCCUGUGCAUCCUCUUCUCCUUCACCGACAGCGUCCUUGGCCGCGACCAGAAGCUCUACUACGGCGUCGCCACACCACGCGGCUUCAACGUGUUCAACUUCUCCGAUGAAGAGGAGAAGCUGAAGUGGACUCCACCUGAGUUCCGGAGGCUCCGCAUCCGGCCGCUCGAGUUUUUGCAUGCCAUCUUCACAGCGCUGGUCUUUCUCACCGUGGCGUUCAGCGAGGUAGGUCUACAAAGCUGCUUCUUCCCCAAUGCCGGUAAGAACACCACGGAGCUGCUGAAGAACCUACCUUUGGGCAUCACAUUUCUGUCGAGUUUUGUGUUCAUGGUCUUCCCCACAAAGAGGAAGGGCAUCGGCCACACCGACACCACUCCUCGCGAGAAGCUCACUUGA
rnacentral:rRNA from 1 species